CAGCCCAAAACACUCGAGAGGAGGAAGAGGAGGAGGGAGUCGGUGUGAAGAAAGCAUUUGGGCGGAGCGGCCUUUCAUCGUUUUAUGAAAUGACACACGAGGCCUUCACAUGACAUCUUGCUACUUGGGAGACACUUUUGUGGGGUGAGAGGAAGACCUCCCUUCAGAACUGAUGGCCAUGCAAACACAUUCACACAAUGUGGAGGAUUCCAUAAAGCUAAUGUCAAGGUUUUUUUUUUUUUUUUUUUUUUUGGUCGGAGGAAUUAAAAUAUGUAAAAUGGGAAAAAACAACAUGUCAUAAAAAAUGUGGUCAACUAAUUUUUGCACUUGUGAGCCUUGACAGUGCGAUGUGAUCUAAAACAUCAGGCUUCUAUUUUUGACAUAAAAAAUUAAUUGAAAACAUUUUUCAAGCUUUUGUCAUAAAAAAUGUUACAAACCUUGCACUACUUUUAGAUUUCAUUUUUCACCUUUUUCUCUUGUACCAGAUGACGCUUUUUUCCCCCACUCAAAUGACAGGUACAUGUUCUAUCACUGUCACCUGCAUAUGUAAUAAAAGUUUGCGUUUGAUCUAUAAUUGCAUUUUCAAUGCAAGAGAGAAAAUCUUCCAACAUACAGAACCGCAUUGAAUAUUUGUGGUGAUGAGCAGGAAUGAAUGUCAUACAUUUGUCUCCAAAACAAGAACAUGAUUCAUAAAAGCAAGAUUUAAUUUACAGUUUUACUAAAUGUACAUUUCUUUUUAAAAAGUAUCCUUAUACACAAUAAAUACAAUACAAAAUUAAUCUGUAAUACGAUACUUCAAAUUCUCUUGCGGUCUUUUUUUUUGUACAUUAUUAUUGUUCCUUUUGCAUUUUUCACUCUCUGCCACCCCACAGUUUAUGUACGUUUGUGCUGCACUUGAGUUGGAAAAGUCCACAGGGCUUGGAUUUAAAAAAAAAAAAAAAAAUGUAAUCACAAAAGAGGGGAAGGGGGAGAAGUGUGAGUUUAAGGAUGAGCCUGGCCUGCCCCCUGUUGACUGAACUCUAUCGUGGCUUCAGAGUUUGGAGGUGAUACAAGGUCCAAAUAACUUGCUGUAGAAUCUAGAUGUUUUGACGUCUGAUGUUUUGUUUUAACUUUGAUAACUAUGAAUCCAAUCCUGCUUUCUGGGGCUUGAAACGUGAUUUAUUUCCAUAGGGCUUGUGCUACAUGCUCAUAAGUUUGUACGACACUAUUUUGGAAAGGUCGACGUUUUAAACUGUGAUUCCCAACCACUGUGCCAAGAGCUCAACAAACAUGCUGGGUAAGUUUAUGUAAUUUAACAAAUGGUCCAAAAAUGAUAAUUUCAUUUCUAAAAAUUGAUAUUUUUUUCCAUCUAUGUCAACAACAGGCAAAACUAAUGUUCUACCACUAGAUGUCAGAAGGUAGCUUUGUGUCGGACUAAACACGGCAGAUUUAACAUGCGUAAAUUGAGAAGUGAUCAACAAUAAAUUUACUUUUGGUGGAGUUUGUGUUUGGUGCUGAGCCAUGAGAUUUUUUGAUUUUUUUUUUAAUUUCAACUUGCUUUGGUCAAUUUUUGGUCACAUUUAAAGUUAGGAAUCACUCUAUUCGAGCAUCAAGAAUAAAAAGACCCUUUUAAUUUGCAACCCAUAUUUUUUUCCAGGUAGCUUCUCAGUAAACCUUUCAAAAGUCCACUUUCAGAGGUAGAAGCAGGGCUGCUACACAAGCGUUAAUAAAUGGUGAAUCCCGGAAUGGCAGGACUGGGGUGUGAAGUUCACACUCGCCUGCCACUUCUCCCACCUGUUAUAAUGAAAGCAAUGAUGAUGAAAAGUAUUUUAGAGUGGGUUCUCUGUUGAAAAACAAAGGGGGCCUUUUGAGGAAUCUUGCCCUGUGAGAUUUUUUCCAAUGUAAAAAUACAAGAUUCAUUAGGGGUAUUGGGCCUUCAAGUCAAAUUUUAGGAUGAACCCAAAAUGCCUUUUCCCUUAAUAAGCUUCAUCGGUAAAUUAAUUUGACUGUGUAAACUUUGAAUGCAUUGUUACUUGCUGUUGCAUAACUUGCUCUUCUAUAACAAGGAGCUGAACAAAACAAUUCACAUCCAUUGGCCAAUCAGGUUUCCGUAUCUCGACUGCAACCUCCUGAUAAGAGCGAGGUUCUGUUGCUUAAAUGUUAGUCUUCAUGGUGCCAAAAUAUGAACAGAAUGAUGAAAAGGACUGAAAAAACAAAUCUACAUGAACCAUAACCCUCAUUAGAAAAAACGCAGAGACGGAAAGGCACAGAAGUGGAUGUCCUUGGGAAUUUUCUGAGCUGCUUAACCUCACAAGGGUUGCGGGCGUGCUGGAGCCUAUCCCAGCUGUCUAUGUAGACCCUGAACUAGUUAACAGCCCAUCAGAGGCAAUUUUUAUGAAUCAUAAAUUGAUUUUAUUAUUCAGCUCCUUGUGAGAAAACACCAAGUUGUGCAAAAAGUACUGUUGGACAUUGAAAAGUUUAGAGGUAGGGUUAAAGUCAAAAGUUUAUGGUGCAUUUUAGGUUCAUCCUGAAAUUUUAACUGAGUAAUAAACAUACCGGUACUUCUUGUGAUCUUUUCCAUUUGGUGUUGUAGCACGAUAUUUUUGAAAAUGUAAAAUAUAUGCCUUGGAUUACUAAGGCUUGGUAACUAUGAUUUAGAAACACGGGCGGGGGGGGGAGAGAGAGAGAGAGAGAGAGAGAGAGAGAGAGAGAGAGAGAGA